UAGUCAAUGAUCAUUUAGACAUGAACAAUUAAGAGUCAAUUUUAUUGUUCUGGGUCAAUCUUAAGUUUGAGGAUUUUUGUUACUGUUGUUAAAGGAAAAAAAAUCAAUGUUAUGAAAUAUUCAUAGAUAUCUAAAUGAGUAAAUGAAAUGUGGAAAGCAAGAAUCAAUGGAAAUAAAAGUUUUAUUCUAUUUUUUUAAUCAUCGACUGCGCUUUUCCUGUUUCAAAAUGGACACAUUUGAGCUGAUUUAAGCAAUAUUCCGUGGUGGCGAGCUCAAGUGGUUGCAUUUCUGUGUUGAAAGCACAGAGAGCAAUGACGGACAAGUUAGACCUGCUUUAAGGAUUCUCCCCUGAUCAAGAGCCUUAGGGUUGUAUUUUUGUACUGGGGAGAAAGGAGACAAAUAAUGGACACACUCCCGCUGAUUGUAACAUUCUUCCAAGGUCGUGAGCCCUCUGGUUCCAUCUAUGUUGGAGGAGCAUGGAGACCCCAACAGGUGCUUGAGCCGAUUUCAUCUUCUGUGGGAUCGGGAUUGUCACGUGACAUUCCUUUUGCGUUAGGAAAAUGGAACAAGGAGAGUAAUGGUCAAAAAUUUUGUUUUGGUUUGGGUCAUUUGUGUUCAUGGAAUUAUUAAAAAGUAAGAGUAUAAUAAAAAGGUUCACUGUGGCUAACUGAUAAAUAUGAUAUAAAACAUUAUAUUCAUUAAUUUAUUACAUAGCAUUGAGAUUGAUUAAUGAAAGAAAUAUAACCUAUGUUGGCAAUGAUUCUAAGUUAGAAGUUAAGGGCAUUCAAGCAUCUUAUUCUUCAGUUUUUGUGAAUUAUAGUCAUUUUAAUAUUUUCAAUGAAUUAAUGAUUUAAUCAAUACAAGUAUAGAAAGGAAUUAAGAAAAAGUGGGUCUCAUGGACCAGUGAUGAUGACAGGUGAUGGAUGAGUCUUGGGUCAUGAGCAAUAUGUGUCUGGAUAUCUGAGGUCCAACAUAAUAAAUAGUCUAUUCCUUCUGUUCUAUUUGAUCCUGUACAUGGAUGUUAGGAACAUAAAAAGAUCAGAUUCUUAUUUUGAAUUUUUAAAUUUGGGUUUGUUAUUAUUAGUGGAUCAAUGAUAGAACCAUUAAAGAAAUAUACGUAAUAGUUAAAAAAUAGAGGGAGAAGAAUUAUCCAACUAUGAACAUAUGGUGAGGCAACAAAUAAUAUAAUUGAAAAUAUUUAUGUUCAUUAAGAAAUAAGUGGAGAAAGGGUGUUACCUCCUUAGCUAAGAGUUUAUACAGGUGAGUCUAGUCUUUCUGACUCAGUGUCAAGUUUGAGGUUGUUCCUUUUGUUAAGAGAAAAAUAUAUUAAUAUCAUGAAAGUAGUGAGUAAAUGAAAUAUGAAAAGCAAGGAUCAGUGGAGAUAAGGUCUUAACUUUCUUUUUUUUUCAUUGACUGUACUUCUCUGAACAGACACACUAAGCUGACUAAGCAUUGUUUUAUGGUGGUGAGCUCCACGAUUGCGUCUGUAUGUUAGAAACAGAGACCGAUGUGAGUAGUAGUCAAGUUCUUGUCUUGGUUUCAGCUAUGUUUUUUUUAAGGAUAUUUGGUAUAUUUUUAAAAGUGCUAUAUAGAGUCAAAGGUAGCCAACUGUGGCCUGGUGACAACUAUUGAAUUCCUAUGAAACAUUAUAUUGAUUAUUACAUGCAUGAAAUUUAAGAUAAUUUUUUUCACAUUUUAUUUUUUAUUUUAUUUUAUUUUUUUAUUAUAUCACAGCCUAGCUA